UACGUAGGGUGCAAGCGUUAAUCGGAAUUACUGGGCGUAAAGCGUGCGCAGGCGGUUUUGUAAGUCAGAUGUGAAAUCCCCCGGGCUUAACCUGGGAACUGCGUUUGAAACUACAAGGCUAGAGUGUGGCAGAGGGGGGGUGGAAUUCCACGUGUAGCAGUGAAAUGCGUAGAGAUGUGGAGGAACACCGGUGGCGAAGGCAGCCCCCUGGGUUAACACUGACGCUCAGGCACGAAAGCGUGGGGAGCAAACAGG
rnacentral:rRNA from 1 species